GCCGGGAUAGGCUAGCUUGGUUAGACUAGGGGACUGUGGAUCCCCUGACUCGGGUUCAAAUCUCGGUCCCGGCC
rnacentral:tRNA from 1 species